UCAAAAUAUUUUUUAUUAUUCAUAUUCUUAUUGCGCAUGCGCUGAAUCAAACAACUCUGACGUAACGAGGCUAUACGCCAUCAUAGCCACGGUGUAAUUUUAAUCACGUUUAUAAUUCGGAGUGUUUUUCUGAUUCUUUGUAAGCUGGUACACAAGAUAAGUUGCAAGAAAAUAACGAUUAAGUAAUCCAUUGAUUAUUGUAGAUAAUAAUGUUGAAAUUUGUGAAUACUAACAAAGAGAAUGACCACUAAUAUUUCUUGUGAGAGGAUCCACCGUCAAAAGCUUGAAUCAAGAUCUUCUAAGUUGGAAGGAAAAAUUUUCCUCUAUUAAUGAUGACAGCAAAAGUUUUAAGAGUAAUAGUAUCAGCCGAGGUACUCUUCGAGGUAACCCUCAACUCCAGAUCUGAAGGUUAAAAAACAGGAAUAUGUCUAAAGUCUUGUCCAAAAGCUAAAAUGAAAUUGACAGUAUACAAUGAUUAGCUACCAAAAUUUUUUUCGAGACCGAUAGAGUGAUUUUUUCUACUAAAAUUCAUUGGUACUGACAAGCGUGAACAUCUAUAAGUUUGGAACCUCUUAUUGAAAUAAGCAAGUACUGCAUUACCUAAAUACUAGGAAUAACAUGAUAACAAUGGCUUUAGGCGAGAAAAGUAUAAUCUAUAAGCUUUCAUGGUCACCAAAAGUGAACAAAUUUGCAGUACUUUAUCUAUUUUUAUACCCCUUAAAGUUGCUACUUUCAAAUAAUUGUGACUCGAUGUUUGAGUUCAAAAGAGAGCAUUGUAAUAACAUUCAUUACAACCCGCACACUAAUAUUUUAUUACUUGGUGGAUUUAUAAUCUUUUCCGAAAAGGCACUACUGUGGAACAUGACUCGGGAGGAAUUCGUUGUUCAAGAUAACACCACAGGUUCAACGUUGCUUUAUUGGUUAGCACUUUAUGAUCGCUAUCACUGCUCAAGGAUUACGAAUGGUUAACCGUUUAAAAAUUUGCAAUAUACCAGAGCUUUGCUGUACGAGAGUCCGUAGGACUAACAGAAAAAACUGUCGGAAAUGUUUUAGUAACGGUUUCUGAUCUUGCUAAUUAUCUUGUGAAUAAUCUUGAAUUGCAAGUAUAUGAUUAAUUUUCAAAAGCAUAACGAUAACGACACUGCAAGGAGACUACUGGAAUAUGUUCACAUAAGUGGUGUUCAAGGUCAAGAAAAAUUAAGAUAUUGCAUAGAGAAUGGUUUUCAGUUUCUUAUUCAGAAAGAAACAAUUUGGUAUUGAAUAUUGUGUGGCAGGCCAAAGAAAAGGCUAUCCGAUUGAUGCAGUAAAUAAACGGAUGUGUCUAAAAAAAUGAACAACUAUAUGUAACCAGGGCAUAAAUUUGAUGAAUUUUGAUUUAAAUAACACACUUCACACAAAGGCUAAAACUUCGACAAUCUUAGGUUGUUAAAACUAUCUAAAUAUUUGUUGCAGAAAAAAUAUUGUAAAAUUGCUGAGGAAUACCAGA